UACGUAGGGUGCGAGCGUUAAUCGGAGUUACUGGGCGUAAAGGGCGCGUAGGCGGUUUAAUAAGAUUGAUGUGAAAUCCCUGGGCUUAACCUAGGAACUGCAUCGAUGACUGUUAAGCUAGAGUAUUGUAGAGGGUAGUGGAAUUUCCGGUGUAGCGGUGAAAUGCGUAGAGAUCGGAAGGAACACCAGUGGCGAAGGCGGCUACCUGGACAAAUACUGACGCUGAGGCGCGAGAGCGUGGGGAGCAAACAGG
rnacentral:rRNA from 1 species